GGUGAGUAACGCGUGGGUAACCUGCCUUAUACUGGGGGAUAACAGCCAGAAAUGACUGCUAAUACCGCAUAAGCGCACAGAACCGCAUGGUUCGGUGUGAAAAACUCCGGUGGUAUAAGAUGGACCCGCGUUGGAUUAGCUAGUUGGCAGGGCAGCGGCCUACCAAGGCGACGAUCCAUAGCCGGCCUGAGAGGGUGAACGGCCACAUUGGGACUGAGACACGGCCCAG
rnacentral:rRNA from 1 species